rnacentral:misc_RNA from 1 species
UAAGAAGCAGUAUGCACAGG